AAAACACAAAAAAGGACAGUCGGAAG
rnacentral:piRNA from 1 species